GAUGAACGCUGGCGGCGUGCUUAACACAUGCAAGUCGAACGGAAAGGCCCAAGCUUGCUUGGGUACUCGAGUGGCGAACGGGUGAGUAACACGUGGGUGAUCUGCCCUGCACUUCGGGAUAAGCCUGGGAAACUGGGUCUAAUACCGGAUAGGACGAUGGUUUGGAUGCCAUUGUGGAAAGUUUUUUCGGUGUGGGAUGAGCUCGCGGCCUAUCAGCUUGUUGGUGGGGUAAUGGCGUAGCAAGGCGUCGACGGGUAGCCGGCCUGAGAGGGUGUACGGCCACAUUGGGACUGAGAGGCGGCCCAGACUGCUACGGGAGGCAGCAGUGGGGAAUAUUGGAUAAUGGGCGACAGCCUGAGGCAGCGACGCCGCGGGGGUGAUGACGGCCUUCGUGUUGUAAACUCCUUUCGCUAGGGACGAAGCGUUUUUGUGACGGUACCUGGAGAGGAAGCACCGGCUAACUACGUG
rnacentral:rRNA from 1 species